rnacentral:rRNA from 1 species
GCUUACGGCCAUUCCACCCUGAACACGCCUGAUCUCAUAAGCUAAGCAGGUUCGGGCCUUGUUAGUACUUAGAUGGGAGACCACCUGGGAAUACCAGUUGCUGUAACCU